AUCAGCCGCCUGGGCCAACGGCAGCCCGGCAGACGAGCCGCGCUUGACGCGCCGCCGGCCAAUGGGGCGCUGCCCUCCGCCCCCGCCCGGUGCCCGGGGCAUCCCUGCCCGGGCGGGGCGGGGCGGGGGCUCCCGCGGAGGGCGGUGGCGAGGCCGGUACCGGCCGCUCGGCCGGGCCUGGGUCGGUGUGAGGCGGGCGGGGCACUGCUUGCUGCCCCGGCCCUGCCGGGUGUGGGAGGAAGGGACACGGAACCGUUUCCUUCCUCACACCGGGGCGGGGGGCACGCAGGUGCCGGGGAGGGUGAUCGCCCCCGUUCCGCGCUCUCCGCGCCGUGCCUGUGCCCGAGGCGGCCUGCGGCCCUCCGCCGCGGCCCUUCCCGCAUUGCCCUGGGGCGUAACGCCGGCGGCACCCGCUGCGUUGCCUUCUCGAGGUGAAUCCUGGCCUCUCUGCCCGGGAGGCCGGGUGAAACCACUUUGCCGGCGGUCUCUGCCCGGGAGCGGGGACUUCUCACCUCGGCACCGGGCCCUGCGGAGCCCCCGUGUUUUUAGACCCCCUCAGGUGGCAGUGACAGCUGUUCUUACAGUGAAGGCACCAUUUGGACGGGUUGGCUUUGCCACCAGGUCCGAAGCGAGCUGCCGUGGCCAGCGCUGCUGCCAGCACCACGAGGAGUCUCCUGAGGGUCCCCAGGUGUCUCCUGAGGGUCCCCAGGUGGGUUGGCAGCGCUGGGUCCUCCAGAAAGGCACCUGAGGGCAGCUGGCUGCAAUGGCCUCUAUCCCUUCCCAUCAAAGAGAAGGCCAAGACCUUAAGUUUUCUUUACCACGAAUAUAUUUAUAAAGUUUUCACCAUCCUUAACAGCUCUUCUGCUAUUUUCUUUUGCCGGUGUUUCCAACUAAUCCUGCAUGCUUCUGUGUUCUACCAGAAUGCUGUUCAUCUGACCUACCUUCCUCUUUCUGCCUGCUUCCUUUUUGUUUCAGGUCAAAUAAAACUCGUGCUUUAUCCACAUUCGUCUCUUACUAUACUUCCUUUUCCUUCCUGUACAAUAGGUUAGUUUAGAUUUGGUGGCUAUCAUUCCUUUGAAGAACGCUGAGUUUCCUGAUUCCUUUUUCUCUGACGCACUGCUCCUCUGUGAUGCAACAUCCCAACUCUCCAAUUCCCUCAUCCCAGCUGUCGGUUAUGUUUGCCAUUCUCUGUCCUUUCCUUUGCAUGGAUCAUCCAAUCUAUACUUACCACCCUAACCCAAGUUGCCUCCCACAUUGAUAUCACGAGUAUUUAUAUCUGUCUGUUGGAACCACGUGAGGAAGAGCUCCCGUUCCCGUUGGUUUCUCCGUCUUCCGUGUCGAAGUUCGUCACCAGUGUUCUCCAGGAAACAUCCCUUGUUGGGGUCCUUCCUGAACAACCAGGUCUCCCAUUGCCGUCAGCUUGGGUGAUUCAGUUAGCUGUUCACAGAAAGCAACUCGAUCUCGUCAAUUGGGUAUUGUAGCAGAUCCUUACCAGGAGAGUGCCCAGCUUCUUUCAUCGUUCCCAGGGGCUUGCAGCAGCUCUCACUCCCUUAGCUCAUUCAGUUUCAGAACUGGUAUGUAAUAAACAAGGCCAUCUCUCUUCCUCCCCUUAUCCUCCCUGAACAACUUUAUAUUUGUAUUCCUGUCAUGUGGGAUACACCCCACCCCGCCCACCCCCCGUACCUCUGUUGCCCCAAUUAGAACAUACCCCUUAUUUAUUACAGUAUAUGGUAUUUUUGGUUUUGGAGGGAUUUUUGGUUUUGGUUUUCAAUGUAAGGGGAGUAAUUAGUAAGCAAAUUACAACAGGUAGUAAAAGAAGGUAAGGCACCCCAUCAGUCUCAGCUCAGUAUUACAGCAAUGCACUUGGAUUUUAAGCACUGGCGUAAUCUGGCUGCGUAGCUGCUUAAAUGGAAGCGUAUGCUGAGGUUCUUUGCUGAAUCAAAGCUUUACUUUUCAUUUCAUUGUGGCCUGUUCUGCAUUUUUAAGCUGAGACGGAGUGUGAAGUAAAACACUCAGAAAAAUAAUUUCUCUAGGGCAUAUUCUGUUUGAUAAUGUCAUACCUGGAACUUCAUCUGGGCUGUCAAAACAAUGGCGCAUGACAGUAAAACUGAGCACGCUUCAUAUACAUAAAUCUUUCACAGUCUGUAACCAAGUAUUGAGAAUGAGCUGAGGCUCCUCUAGCUGAGUUAUUCCACUAAAUGAGAAAUUAUGUGACCAUUAGAGAGCAGAUUCCUCCCAGCUAGUAACUUGAGGUAACAACAGGUGGAGGUGGCAAUGAAUUUAUGGAUGCAUAAUUAAAAAGCAUAGUGCAGAAGGACAGGGGAUUUUAAAAAGAUGCAGAGGAAGAGGUUCACCUCCUUGAACAGCAUUUGUUGUCCAUCCAGAUCAUGGGGUGGCAUUUCUGGUGGGAAUUGCAGCUUUAUCAGAGAUGCCCAGCAAGUUACUGCUGAUUUCCUGACACGACAGGGAAGAGUAUUUCCAUCCGGCAAUGAUGUGGGUCUGCUUCUUUUUUAAUGUCAUCAUUAAUUAUUGUGGGACAGAGAGCACACUUUUGAAAUUUAUGGCUAGAAAUCAUGCUCAAAAAUGUUACAAACCUCUCAGAGGAUGCAAUUAGAAUGUGAACUGAUAGCGUUGAGGAAGUGAUCCAGCCAACAACCUGGUAUUUAAUAGAAUUGCUAAGCAUGGUAUAGAAACAGAAAUCAACUCUAGAAACAGUUAAGGAACUUCCUCCUGAAAGAGGAAUGACUGAGGAUGCAGAAAGGCUACAGAAGAGGAAGCAAGAGGUCAGGCUAGAUCACAAGCGAAAUACAAAGCGAAGGUGAAAAGGGCAGAUCUCAUUCUAGGGCGUACAACCAGGAGACUUGUACGUAAAGUAAGCUCAGGGAAAAAUAGUUCUUGUAUACCCAGUGCCAAGGAGGCCUCAGCUGGAAUACUGUGGUUUCGGACACUGCAUUUAGAAGAGGUUCUGAAGAUCGGAGACUAAAAACUUUGAAGUGGCAAUCAUAAGAGUCUUAGAAAACAUGGCAUACAAAAAAAAGAGAAAAGGAAUUAGAUUCGUUUAGUCCAGAAAAGGGAAGAAAGAGGGGAAGAGUACAAAAUGCUUGCAUUAAGUAGAAUUACUGUGGAAGAAGGUAAAUUGUUCUCCACAUCCACUGGGCCAAGACAAAAGGUAACAGCAGCGUUUUGGUUCAGAUAUUGGGAAAACCUUUUGUGGGUUCAGCACAGUAAGAGAGUCCUUGGAGGCCAUAGAAUCCCCGAUACUGAAUGCUUUUAAAAGCACAACAGUGUGGGGCCAACUGCCCUCUGGACAGUUGCCCAAGGCAGCGAAGCCGGAAGACCUUGAGCAGCACACUGCCUUGCUGGGACAGGCUGGGGAGUGCGACACUGGAAACAAAGCAUCUGUGGGAGACAACCCAAAACUCCCCAUGCCUUUCAGCAACAGCCAGCAGCUCCUGCUUUUCCUGAAGAUGGGAUACCACCGGGCAGCUCAAUGGUAGCAUAUUGCUUCUCUAAGCCGCAGCAGUUUCCAGCUUCUGCUUUGUUUUGUCGUCAGGCUUAAGGUCAAAUCAGAUAUAGUCAGGACGCCACUGCUGGGAGGCUACCAGGCACGGGGUGUCUGGUACUGUCAAGUGUUGUCUACGCUCGUCCCUGCAAGAUCUUUCAGACCCGUCCCAGCAUUACAUUGCUAUGAGCAGGGGUUUGACUAGAGGAGCGUUACAGUUAACUCCACACCUCUGUGCUGCUUGAGCUAAACCGCUCUACAGUACAAUUCCUUCCAAGCUGAUGGCGUUGCAAGCAAAUGCCUCUAUUUGGAGAGUCACCUAGGAUCUUAAAAAUUAGGUGUCUGGUCACACAGUAGGACCGGUAAGCUUGGAAUCUUCUAAACGGCAUUUCAAUGUGUUGCAUUUUUGUAGUCACUUUAUGCAUGGGAAUAUCAAAUUCCAUAUAGUUGCUUACUGAAUUCAAGUUUUGGGGCCUGAAUUUCCCACUUUAAUUGGCAGGAAUGAAGAAGUAAUCUCUCAUCAGGCAGAGCUCAUAGUGAAAGCAUUAAAAGUCUUAAUUUAUUGCAUUCUUUCAAUAAGACUUCAUUUCUGAGCAUUUUGUGACAAUCUGACCUAAUAUUGCACUGAUUCAGACAAUAGAGCUGUUCUAUUGUACUUUAAUGACUGGAAAUGUAAUUUGCUUCCUGUUUAAUAUUUAAGCCAGCAAUAAUACCAAAAAGGCUUAUUGCUCCUAAGAAAAGAUGAAAGGGGCAUAACUCUUAAGGUUUUUUUGUGUUCAAAAUUUGACCUACUUUAAAAAUACUAGAAACUCAUGGGAAUGGUCCUCAGAAUUAAAAAUACCAAUAUAAGAUUGUUGCCUGGGAAUUUUAAGAUACAUCACUUCCAGCUCAUUGAAAAGCAGAAUUUCCCUCCCAAGGGAAAUCCAGAUAAUUCAAAAUUAAUUUUUGUCCCGAAAUACUGAAUUAGCAGAGUUUUUCACAGAAAAGGAAGUUUUAAAAGAGAAAAUAUUCUGAACUUCAGAAAUAUUUAAUUUGGGCUUGAUGACGAUCCUGAAAUUUUUCAGUCUGGCUUGGCUGUAGAUCAGUCUGUGCCCUAGCUGCCUGUAGUGACCCUUGCAGCGCCAGGCUUGCUCUGUCAUGCUCUUUGAAGAGGCCAACUCCAUGGCUAGCCCACCUUGCCCACAAAGCUCUUCCGUGGGGAGCAAGGAAGGCAAAUUUCGGUGUAGUCUGCAGGGAAGGCAACUUGCAAAGGCUGAUUGGAAGAGGAUAACAGGAAUGUGCAUUAUCUGAACCGCUACAACAGGUAUGUGGUAGCCCAGAUAGGGAUGCAGAGCCAUAGAAAUGAAACACCUUAAGCAAAGAACAGGACUAAAACAUCAUCUUCACAUGAGGUAGAACUGUGGGCUCGCCCUACCGCUUCCCCUACAGAGGCCCAUUGCCUUUUCCUUUAGCAUCGCUGCACAUCCCAUUGCACCGUUGGACAGUGUUGUGUGCUCUGCUCCACCAAGUCCUUUUCCCCAGCCCCUCACUAGACCCUUCACGGACCACAGUCCUCCUUGUUGGCCUCUUACUAGGGCUGUCUCCAGUGCAGGGCUCAGUGAGCUGAGUCCCACACCUACGUGGGGAGGAAACCCAAGAUCCAAGGCUUCACAAAAUCCCUCAGGGACAGAGCCAUUUCUAAUACUUUACACACUACAAGUAGUUAGAUGUACACUGUUAAACCACUGUCAUACUAUCCACUUGACAGUUGGAUAUGCUGGUCUCCGUAUAAAUUUGGGGGGGGGGGGGUUGGUUUUUUUUGGGGGUGGAUUUUGAUUGAUUUAUUUAUUUAAAGCAUCCACUUGGGAUGAACAUUGGUAGAUAUAUCUAAAAAAAAUCUGAACUGUCUCAAGUCAUUCCACGGAAAUAGCGGUACCUUGUCAGGCCCGACUAAAGCACUGCUAAAACUCACUCCUUCAGAAGCAUCCAUGAAAAUACCAGGUAUCACUGGAAGGAAGAGAGAGAAGAGACAAAACACUUUUGAAUGUUUUGUUUCACUUGGUUUUAUAAAUAAGAGUGUGGCAUCUUUUUUUAAAUCAUGACAUUUUGAACAAACAAUGAUGCUUUGUGUUACCCUUUAGCGAGAAAAAAUGUGAACAGAAUAGUUUUGGGCAAUCCAGAAAGCAGCUUGGGAAGGAAGACUGCUGUGAACUAUUGCCGGUUCAGUCAUUUACUUGCUCCAUAUAGUUGGAUAAGAUACUUAGUCCUUAUCUGUAUGUCAAGGUUGUACUGCUUUAGUUGUGGCAGUUCAAUAAAGCUAUACAGACUCUAGUAUUAACACAACUAUAUUGGUAUUCAUAUACUUUUAUCGGAAUAAUAUGUUCAUGUUGGGCAAAUCUUACCACUGUAGUGGUACAAAGGUACGUUGUAACUGCUGGCACAGUAGGGAGUGUACUGUUAUAACAAAAGAUUAAAAGAUCCCAUCCCUCACCCAAAAUACUUAUACCUAGUACUAAAUUGUGUGUAGACACCUUUGGUGCCUCACUUUCCCCUGUCUAUAAAAGCCUUUUAGAUCUUACCUUGCAAGGACUGUCGAGCCUCAAUUCCUAUCUGUGACAGGGCUUUGCGAAGUCUGCAUGAAAGGUGCCAAGGCUUAUUUUUAGCCAGUCACAGAGCUUUUUUGAGUCUCUAAAAAGUGUUUGCAAGAGGCAGCUGUGCCCCAAAACAUGCCAUAGUGGAGGAGUUCCGUUGGGCUUGCUUCCUUUUUCUGUGAACAUUUCACAUUACAUUUGACUCAGACUUUCUGACAGCUAUUUCAUGACGUAUUGACUGUGAAAUCAUCCCUGUUAUUUCGUGUAUUUAUGUGAAAUCCACUCCCCUCUUUCUCAGGGCUUCAGGGACUGGCUUCUUUCCCCUACCACCAUUAGUCUGACUAGCAAAGGUUAAAUCAAGGACAAAAGUCUUUCGUGUUCAAGGCAAAACUACAAUAAGGGUGUUUUCCCUGCUGCCUUUUGCCUAAAAUCCGAGGGAAAGAGAGAAGUCAAGAGGCUGCCAUCUGUUGGGAGGAACUGUGGAGGACACCAGAGCCUCAAACCCUGGCAGCACCCGAUGAGUUGGGCAAUGUUGGGCUAAUUGUUGGUGUAAAUGACAUCAGCAUUUGGCCUAUGAUCAGUAGCUUCUCUCCGAAUAAUUCGGCAUUCACUCUGAGCGCCAAGGCCGCUAUGUUUUCUCCAGGUUUGCUGUUCAUUUUGAAGCCGUGGCGCAGGGUAGAGCAGGAAGCCUGCUGUGAAGUAUCUUGCAAGCCACACAGGAGUUCCAGCUGCUCAGCCCUGCAUUACCUCAGUUGUCUGCUACACUGGAUAUGAGACUCAGAACAAAAAUUAGCGGGAAAAGCCUGGAUCUUCCCAAAGGAUGCCAACAGAAUAGGAUGCACAGGAAUGGGAUCCUUUAGAUUGUCAGACUCUAAAAGUUUACAUAUCUUUGUGUUUCAAACAUUUAAGUAGAACACAUCCUAACCCGCAUCAUGGACAUACACCACCACCCCCACCCCCACCCGCUUUCUUCCAAGAAGUGUUCAAGCAAAGUGCAAGGACAUCAAAACAGCCACCCUCACUGCUGGAUGAUAGCCUGUGUCCAGGGCAUCCGUAAAGCUGGAAGAAAGGCAAGACCACAGAGAGGCCCCCUGGACUUCAAGUGUUGGAGCUUCCUCAUCAAGCCACCUUUCCAAGCCACCUCCAACAACAUGGAACUCCAGCCCGAAGCUUGUUGCUGGUGUCUAGUGAGUGGGUCACAUCUGGCCUGAAUUUAGCAUUCACUAUUUGUUAGCACUCUAAAGACUGUUUAAUUUAUGCACAGCCUGCGUGUGUGUGCAUGUGUAUAUGUAUGUAUUAAGCAAGAGACAGCUGGUCCUGUGCAGGCAAGGUUGACUGUUACCCCUGAGGCAAGAGGCCCAUGGAAAGCAGGGUGGCUGGUGUUGCAUUAUUGCCCUUUACUUUUCUUUGACCUCCACUUGAUAUAUUUUUCCAUAACCCUAGGCGGUGAGCUCUGUGGGUGCGAACUGUCUGUUUGUUUUUGUCUGUUAAAUGAGGACCUCAUUGUGGAAUACAGCUUCUGAACACCACUACUAAACAAAUAAUACAAUACCAACAGGCAAGGUGGCCAGUAUCUGUCUUAACUGGUCCAUCACCAUAGGUGAGGUGGCUAUUGCCUGAUCCAGGGGAAGCCUGCAACGGGAGUAAAAAGUUCGCUUAAAACUGUGCCAACACGUGAAACAUGUUGUAAAACGUUUGUUGUUCGUGUUGUAAAACAUGAGAGCCACAACUGCUAAAAGCAAAAUAUACAUAUGGCAAGAAGCAAUAACUAGCAUUGCAUCACACAAAGUUGACCUGUGAACCUUCUCGGAAGGACAGUGGGAAGACAACAGCAAGUAUAGUCUAAAGUAAUAGUGUGAGAAAAUGUGGCUUCAAGGCAUAGCAGAAGCACAUACUAGUCAUUGAAGUUGCCCUUUCAGGUGUGUUUGGUGCUGAAAACUGAAUAAUGCCAGCACAUCAAGAGGACAUCCAGGAGACUUGUAGUGUCUACACUUCCGACCCUCUAGUAUUUCUUUGCCAUGCAGGGAGAGGAACAUGGUUUGAGUUUUUUGUGGUCCCCCCCAUCCCCCAGUGUUUUUCAUUGGAAUUUACACUGUGGGGCAAAAAGUAGAACAAAGGAGAUUUUUGCCUUGCCCACUGUAUCUGAUAUGUGACAGUGCUUUCAGGGUUUUUAUAUUCACCCAGGUGCUAUUGUUGUUCAAAGGAGCAACAGUCAGAGUGGUUGUAACGUGCACCAUUAAGGUCAAACAAAACAGAGCUGCACCAGAACGAAGUUAAGAGAGGCCCUUAGCUCAAAGUAAAUAUGACAUGAAGGGCCCAGGCUGCGAUUCCUUGGGAACAGCAUUCAUCUUUUGCCAUGAAACUGUGCUUCAGAUUGCAAGUCCUUCGGGUUACUAAGGAAGCACCAAAAGCAUUAGCUGAACAUACCUAAUGCAGUGUUGCCUGACUGCUUCUGCAGCCUCCGAGGCUUUAGCUUGGGGGGAAUUACAAGUGUUCAGUUCCUCUCCAGGGGACAUUAACUCUUGAACAUAAUGCUAGGCAUUAAAUUACAAAGCAUAUAAUCAUUUCACUGCUAAUCAACUCAUGCACAUACUAGAAUCCUUAUUCCUCACACCUUCCCAGAUCCCACAAGCUCAUUUUGCCUUCUACUCAACUGUCCAGUUUGGAUUGACAGUGCAUGAACCCCGUCUGAGUGGUGUCAGAACAAAGAUGUUUGGUGUUCUGCAAACUGAAAGUGAAAAGAUUAGACAAACCUGAAUAUAAAAAUAUAACAGACAACCUAGUGUCCUCAAGGUUGUGUUUAUUUCCACAUUUAAUUUCAGUAAAAAUGUACCUUUAAGAUUAGAGUCAACACAAUGUCUGGUCUGCUGCACUGUCAAGAUAAAAAUCCAAGAGGUUUUCUAAAGGGACUGUGUCUAGCUUCCUGGGAAGUUCAUAGUGAUGAAGGGCCCUGGUAAUUCAGAAUAUUGUUCAGGAGGCUGGGAGUCAGGACACACAGGUACUGCUUGUUUGUGCUAUACACUUGCUGAGUUCUUGGGCAACUUAUUUUCUUUCUGUCUCUUUUUCCUCAGAGAGAAAGUAGUAAUAACAAUGUUCCUAACAUCUACACACAAAAUUAAAAGCAUAAAAUCGA